rnacentral:rRNA from 1 species
GGAAACCAAUGCGGGGCAACCCGGUAAAUGGUGAUUCAUAAUAACUUUCGGAUCGGUCUUCGGAUCGAUGCUUCAUUCAAGUUUCUGCCCUAUCAGCUUUGGAUGGUAGGGUAUUGGCCUACCAUGGCUUUAACGGGUAACGGAGAAUUAGGGUUCGAUUCCGGAGAGGGAGCCUGAGAAAUGGCUACCACAUCCAAGGAAGGCAGCAGGCGCGUAAAUUACCCAAUCCUGGCACAGGGAGGUAGUGACAAUAAAUAACAAUGCCGGGCUUUUUAAGUCUGGCAAUUGGAAUGAGAACAAUUUAAAUCCCUUAUCGAGGAUCAAUUGGAGGGCAAGUCUGGUGCCAGCAGCCGCGGUAAUUCCAGCUCCAAUAGCGUAUACUAAAGUUGUUGCAGUUAAAAAGCUCGUAGUUGAAUUUCUGGUCUUGGAUUUCGGUCUGCCUCAAACGAGGUAUGUACCAGGGAUCUGAGACCAUCCUCGAGGAAAACAUGUCUGUCAUUCAGUUAAUGGGCAUAGGAUCCUCGUCAUUUACUGUGAGCAAAAUAG